CCAUUUUUUAUUUUAAAUAGUUAUUAUUCAGAAUUCAUAAUGUCUGUGUGAUUCAUUUCUCAUUCUUACUGGUACCGGAGUGUUCGAGAAGGCUCUUUGCAAGCGGAACGAAACCACAGCACUAGCAAAAAUGUCGGCCAUGAAUGAAGAGAUCCAGCGCAGAUAGUAUGAGGAUCUUGAUAGUUUACUGAUCGUGUUGAGGGAGAAGUCGGCGUUCAACGUCGCAAUUAACACUCACUGUAAGUGGUCAAAGCUGCAUUACAUCACAAAGACUCUCCAACAGAAGGGGGAGUACGAUCCAGUUAAGCGUACCUGUUUUGAAAUGCUCCUGGAUGUCUAUCCACAGGGGUACUUUUACGUCUGUCUCUUGCACAGCAUCAUGAUUCACCAGAUCACUGAGAGGCAAUCAAUGGACCAUGAGCUAUGGUUUGCCAUUGGCAAGAGCAAGGCGCGACUAUCAAAGCAAGAGUUCUGCCUCAUCACUGUGCUGAAGUUUGGUCCAAUGCCCGAUGUGUUCAGACGACCGUACGAGGUUGUUACGGAUGGAAUUCAUGCAAGAUACUAGAAUAGGCAGGACAACGUUAAGCUGCAGGCUUUGCUUGAUACCUUUCGCGGGGGUCACUUUCAGCUACCAGGAGGCUCGACCAAGAUGGCACUCGUCUUUUUCUCGAAUAACAUUUUAUUUGGUCAAGACUACCGUAGAUGGGUGACGCCUUGGUUGCUGUCAUUGGUGGAGGACAUCGACGUUUGAAAUGUCUUCCCAUGGGGGCACUAUGUUUGGAAGCUGACCUUGGACUACCUUUUGAAAGGGUUCGAAGACUUGAGCGUGACAAAGGAAACACGGUUAUGCUACAACAUUUACGGAUUCGCAUAGGUGAUACAGUUCUGGGCAAUUGAGGCAAUUUUGGCCCUCCGAAAAAUAGUUACCCCCUCUGGUCCGAAGGACAAUGUCCACCCACGAAUGUGCAAAUGGGAUUGCAAUCAGAAGCCAAAAAACUUCUACAAGACAAUUCAGAAGUUAGAGUCAUUUGAC